UGGUGACCAGACUUCUGCUUUGUAAACUUAAUGGAACAGCAAUGUGAAGGGGGGUCGUAGGUGCGCAGAUUGGAGGCAGAGCAACCGGUCUGAAAGCUACUGUUACAUUCCGUGCCAGAGGUAAUGAGGGCGUGUGCGAAGGUGGUUGCAGUGAGUACGAAGAACUUUUACAGGUACGUGACCACAGGGUACGUGUUUGGCCACUGACCGAUUAAUGGGGUGGAGUUGUUAUUUCCAAGAAACUCCUAUGGUUUUCAGUUUGAGAGCACAGGACUUGGUGCAGGUGUGAGGGGACAAUCAGGAGAUUUGGUUUAAACAUAUUGAAUGUGAUGCGCCUUCAAGGCACCACGUAAACUUGUGGGAGAGACAGCUGGAAAUGUAACCCUGGAACUUGGGCGGACUCGUGAACCAAGUAGGAAGCCAUGUCGCUGUGUCGGAAAGAAGAGAAAGGUCAUUUAUAUCCCUCCCCGCUUCCCGUCUAGGGCUGAAAACUUGCUCAUUUCCAGUCUAUUCCUGUGAUCGAUAUUUAUUAGGGGCCUGCAACUUCCAACGCCAGCUGCUGACUCAUCGUGACCCAACAGGCACUGCCAGGUGGCCUUCAGGUACCUCAGCGUGUCUGGGUGGGAGGCAUCACAGCUGAACAGGAAGUCGGCGGCCCUCGGGUCACUGAUGGAGCCCCCUUCGGCCACUGUGGAGGUAAGAGCACAAGGUGAGCCUAGCAACUACCCUGGGACCAAAGCACCAGAGCGAGAAGGGAUGCUCAGUUCACCACCUCACCCACCCCUUCCGCCCAGCUGCCUACCCCAGAACUGCCUCAGUUCUCCGCCGACGCUGCCGCAGAACCAACCCCGCUGCCCCUGAAACAUGGCGUCCGGCUGCUUUCGGGGGUGUGGGGGCGGGGCCUACCGGGAAUCGCUGAUUGGUCCGAGGUACAAAGCCACGCUCAAUGAUUGGUUCUCAGAGUAAUGGGCGGGAAAAGCCUGCGGCAAGAAGGUGAGGCGUCCGGCUGGCACUGCUGGAGAGCUGACCGGCUCUGGGGCUGUGGAGAGACCGUUCAGCUUUCCCCUGAUAUUGCGGAGAGCGCCUAGUCACGUUGAACAUACAAAGGAACACACAGAAGAGAGUAUACCACAUUUAUCUUGCAUUUCCUGUGCCACGUCAAGCAACUGAAGCCUGGGGUAUGGAACAUUUCAGAGAAUGCAUUGUGUAGACAGACAUGACGCAGGGAUGGGCACUGUUCCAUCAGCACGACCGAGCCUCCAUGGAGGAGAGCAGCACUGCUACAGCCAUAGUAAGUAAGGAACAAACUUUACUGCCCAUUUCAUUCUGAGGAAAAAGGAGGGAGCACUGUAGAAAUCUCAUUCUCUCCAGUUCUAAAGUGCAGUCUGAACUGUGAGUGCUAUAUGAUCCUCUGCAAAAGAAAAAAGAACUAGUCUAUGUUUGGCUGGGAGGUAGAGGGUGGGCAGUGGCCCUGGAGCAGCUGGGAUGGUGGUGCAGUGAUGUGUUUGUUAACAGAGAAGCGUGCCAACUUGUUGAUUAGCUGACCAGUGUGGGACACAGCCACACCUGUAAAGCCAGAGUGACGGCAUCUCCUCUGUGUUCUGGCAGGUCAGAAAGCACAGAACCACAACUCUAGAUUCCCAUGUGCCUAGGCAACUCCUCCAACUGGCCUCAAAGGCCAGCAGGAGUCUCAGAGGACAUGGUGCCUGCCCAUGUACCCACCUCUGCCCUGCUGGGUGGAGAAGUGGUCAGAAAGGACUGACUUCCUUCCACUCCAGUGGAAUCAGGAAAUCCAGAGAAACCCAGAGACAGCACCCUACCUGGUCCAUUAAUUAAAAUAAAGUUUCCAUUGCUCUAAAUAAGACCUAGUAUAUGGUUGCUUAAAUAAGAAUAAAGUUUAUUUGUCUCUCAAGUACAAGUCCAAAUUUGUAUGGUGGCUCUGACCUGCAAAGUUGUCAGUCUCCCAGUCUCUUUCCAUCUACUUGCUCCACCAUCUCUAGGAUGUUGCCCUUGUUUACAUGAUCCAAAAUGCCCAUAUGUGGUCAAUUAAAAAGUGAUUACUAUGAGAAAAAAAAGAAAAAUUGCUUUGAGGACAACCACUAGUCUUCUGGCAUAUUAUGACAACCAAAGUCCAGCCUUAAAGCAUGAAACGAAAGGAAUCAAAAAGUAGUCUCAUACAUAGUGUGUGAGAAAUUAAAAAGUUUUUUAUAUACUCCAGAAAAUAAUUUUUUACAUUUUUAUUUAUUUAUUUUGAGAAAGGCAGAGAGAGAGAGAGAAUUCCAAGCAGGCUGUGCACUGUCAGCACAGAGCCCAGUGCAGGGCUUGAACUCACCAACUGUGAGAUCAUGACCUGAACCAAAAUCAAGAGCCAGACGCUAACUGACUGAGCCACCCAGGCAUCCCAGAAAACAAUUUUUAAAGCAGCCUUUUUGAGUCCAGUGUAUAGGAUGCCAACAACCUGCAGUUUCUGCAUGAGGACAUGGAAAAAUCCACCCAAGUUUUGUCUGUCCUGAAUGAUACGGUAUACCUCAUAUAUAAAUACGGUGGUACUGAUGACAGCUGAUUUUUUUCAAACAAACUGGGCAAUUUUUACUAUAUUUAAGGGAAGUGCAGAGGCAGCAACUACAGAAGAUGUGGCCACAUUCUGUAGAGUAAACAUGUCGCCUACUCAGUUCAAUCUCCGAGUACCCAUCCAUACAAAUUCGACACCGGAUAUAACCAGGUAGUGUGCAACUUAAAACUUCUUCUUCCAGGGCAUUAUGGGAGGUCCUGUUGGUCACAUACACAUCUCUGUUUCUCCUCAGCUCCUCCUUAUCACUGCUCUUGCCAGUUUGCCUUUGGAGCGACCUUUUGUUUCCCCUUGGCCUCCUCCUUUCUUCAGUAAUCACAACAGAGUCAUGGCAAGUUAGGUCAAUCACUGCAGGUUCUAGGGAUUCACAGGUGAGGUCAACUAUUUCAUCACUUUCCC